rnacentral:rRNA from 1 species
GUGGGGAAUAUUGGACAAUGGGCGAAAGCCUGAUCCAGCCAUGCCGCGUGAGUGAUGAAGGCCCUAGGGUUGUAAAGCUCUUUCAGUGGGGAAGAUAAUGACGGUACCCACAGAAGAAGCCCCGGCUAACUUCGUGCCAGCAGCCGCGGUAAUACGAAGGGGGCUAGCGUUGUUCGGAUUUACUGGGCGUAAAGCGCACGUAGGCGGAUUGUUAAGUCGAGGGUGAAAUCCCAGGGCUCAACCCUGGAACUGCCUUCGAUACUGGCAAUCUUGAGUCCGGAAGAGGUGAGUGGAACUCCUAGUGUAGAGGUGGAAUUCGUAGAUAUUAGGAAGAACACCAGUGGCGAAGGCGGCUCACUGGUCCGGUACUGACGCUGAGGUGCGAAAGCGUGGGGAGCAAACAGGAUUAGAUACCCCUGUAGUCC